rnacentral:rRNA from 1 species
GACGAACGCUGGCGGCGUGCUUAACACAUGCAAGUCGAACGGAAAGGCCCUGCUUUGGGGGGGUGCUCGAGUGGCGAACGGGUGAGUAACACGUGAGUAACCUGCCCUUGACUUUGGGAUAACUUCAGGAAACUGGGGCUAAUACGGGAUAGGAGCUCCUGCUGCAUGGUGGGGGUGGGAAAGUUUCGGUGGUUGGGGAUGGACUCGCGGCUUAUGAGCUUGUUGGUGGGGUAGUGGAUUACCAAGGCCUUGACGGGUAGCCGGCCUGAGAGGGUGAGCGGCCACAUUGGGACGGGGCUACGGCCCAGCCUCCUCCCGGACGCAGCAGUGGGGAAUAUUACACUAUGGGCGGAAGCAUGAUGCAGCAACGCCGCGUGCGGGAUGACGGCCUUCGGGUUGUAAACCGCUUUCGCCUGUGACGAAGCGUGAGUGACGGUACUGGGUAAAGAAGCCCCGGCUAACUACGUG